UGGAGUCCGCCCCACCAAGUGCUGGAAGUGAAGAUGCGAUCUACUGAUUUGCCGGUGCGGUGGUCGGCGAUGCCCAAGGCCGGGGGGGAAAGCCCAGAGGCAGAAAUUCGCUUACAGUGUUAACCGGAAGCGUCUUAACCGGAAAGCUUGACUGAAGGCAGCGCCACGGAUCGAGCGGUGUCACAUCCGACAUGCGUGAGACCACGGCAGACCUGUGCGGCAGAACCUGGCGGAGAUGAGGUUGGCUGUGGAUUCCAACAAGGCGUACCCCACUGUGAGAAAAAAGUGAAGGCCGUGGAGGUGGAUGCAGAGGAUGGGCCUCAGGAGCUCCUGCGGAAACCCCAUGCGCUAAA